ACCUGGUUGAUCCUGCCAGUAGCAUAUGCUUGUCUCAAAGAUUAAGCCAUGCAUGUCUAAGUACGCACGGCCGGUACAGUGAAACUGCGAAUGGCUCAUUAAAUCAGUUAUGGUUCCUUUGGUCGCUCGCUCCUCUCCUACUUGGAUAACUGUGGUAAUUCUAGAGCUAAUACAUGCCGACGGGCGCUGACCCCCCUCGCGGGGGGGAUGCGUGCAUUUAUCAGAUCAAAACCAACCCGGUCAGCCUCCCCCCGGCCCCGGCCGGGGGGGUGGGCGCCGGCGGCUUUGGUGACUCUAGAUAACCUCGGGCCGAUCGCACGCCCUCCGUGGCGGCGACGACCCAUUCGAACGUCUGCCCUAUCAACUUUCGAUGGUA
rnacentral:rRNA from 1 species